rnacentral:rRNA from 1 species
GACGAACGCUGGCGGCGUGCCUAAUACAUGCAAGUAGAACGCAGUUGGGAACGGGUGAGUAACGCGUAGGUCACUGCAUGGUAGCGGGGGAUAACUAUUGGAAACGAUAGCUAAUACCGCAUACUAACGGAUAGACCUGCGUUGGAUUAGCUAGUUGGUGGGGUAACGGCUCCACAAGUCAACGAUACAUAGCCGAGCUGAGCGGGUGAACUGCCACACUGGGACUGAUACACGGGCCAGAAGCGUACGGGAGGCAGGAGUAGUGAAUCAUCGGCAAUGGGGGGAAACCUGACCGAGCAACGCCGCGUUAGUUAAGAAGGUUUUCGGAUCGUAAAGCUCUGUUGUUAAGGAAGCGGUACUCAACCAGAAAGGGCCGGCUAACUACGUGCCAGCCGCCGCGGUAAUAC